rnacentral:piRNA from 1 species
UCCCAUUAUCUAUGCUCGUGUCCACGUUC